ACAAUGAAGAGUUUGAUCCUGGCUCAGGAUGAACGCUAGCGGCAGGCCUAACACAUGCAAGUCGAGGGGCAUCACGGAAAAGCUUGCUUUUCUGGUGGCGACCGGCGCACGGGUGCGGAACGCGUAUGGAACCUGCCCCUGUCAGGGGAAUAGCCCAGGGAAACUUGGAUUAAUGCCCCAUGGUACCGUUAUAUCGCAUGAUAUUGCGGUUAAAGAUUUAUCGGACAGGGAUGGCCAUGCGUACCAUUAGUUAGUUGGUGAGGUAACGGCUCACCAAGGCAGCGAUGGUUAGGGGCCCUGAGAGGGGGAUCCC
rnacentral:rRNA from 1 species